rnacentral:rRNA from 1 species
AGAGUUUGAUCAUGGCUCAGAUUGAACGCUGGCGGCAUGCUUUACACAUGCAAGUCGAACGGCAGCACGGGGGCAACCCUGGUGGCGAGUGGCGAACGGGUGAGGAAUACGUCGGAAUCUGCCCAGUCGUGGGGGAUAACUAGCCGAAAGGUUAGCUAAUACCGCAUACGACCGAGAGGUGAAAGCGGGGGGACCGCAAGGCCUCGCGCGAUUGGAUGAGCCGACGUCGGAUUAGCUAGUUGGCGGGGUAAAGGCCCACCAAGGCGACGAUCCGUAGCGGGUCUGAGAGGAUGAUCCGCCACACUGGGACUGAGACACGGCCCAGACUCCUACGGGAGGCAGCAGUGGGGAAUUUUGGACAAUGGGCGCAAGCCUGAUCCAGCCAUGCCGCGUGAGUGAAGAAGGCCUUCGGGUUGUAAAGCUCUUUCGGUGGGGAAGAAAUUGCUUCGGUUAAUACCUGGAGUAGAUGACGGUACCCGCAUAAGAAGCACCGGCUAACUACGUG